GACGAACGCUGGCGGCGUGCUUAACACAUGCAAGUCGAACGGUAAGGCCCUUCGGGGUACACGAGUGGCGAACGGGUGAGUAACACGUGGUGAUCUGCCCUGCACUUCGGGAUAAGCCUGGGAAACUGGGUCUAAUACCGGAUAGGACCAUGGACUUCACGGUUUGUGGUGGAAAGCUUUUGCGGUGUGGGAUGGGGCCCGCGGCCUAUCAGCUUGUUGGUGGGGUAAUGGCCUACCAAGGCGACGACGGGUAGCCGGCCUGAGAGGGUGUCCGGCCACACUGGGACUGAGAUACGGCCCAGACUCCUACGGGAGGCAGCAGUGGGGAAUAUUGCACAAUGGGCGCAAGCCUGAUGCAGCGACGCCGCGUGAGGGAUGACGGCCUUCGGUGUAACUCUUCAUAGGACGAAGCGCAAGUGACGGUACCUA
rnacentral:rRNA from 1 species